rnacentral:rRNA from 1 species
GAUGAACGCUAGCGGCAGGCUUAACACGUGCAAGUCGAGGGGUAUAGUUCUUCGGAACUAGAGACCGGCGCACGGGUGCGUAACGCGUAUGCAAUCUACCUUUUGCAGAGGGAUAGCCCAGAGAAAUUUGGAUUAAUACCUCAUAGUAUAGCAGUUUCGCAUGAAACCACUAUUAAAGUCACAACGGCAAAAGAUGAGCAUGCGUCCCAUUAGCUAGAUGGUAAGGUAACGGCUUACCAUGGCGACGAUGGGUAGGGGUCCUGAGAGGGGGAUCCCCCACACUGGUACUGAGACACGGACCCGACUCCGACGGGAGGCAGCAGUGAGGAAUAUUGGACAAUGGGCGCAAGCCUGAUCCAGCCAUGCCGCGUGCAGGAUGACGGUCCUAUGGAUUGUAAACUGCUUUUGUACAGGAAGAAACACUCCCUCGGGAGGGAGCUUGACGGUACUGUAAGAAUAAGGAUCGGCUAACUCCGUGCCAGCCGCCGCUGUAAAAC